UACGAAGGGGGCUAGCGUUGCUCAGAAUUACUGGGCGUAAAGCGCACGUAGGCGGUUUCUUAAGUCGGGGGUGAAAUCCUGGAGCUCAACUCCAGAACUGCCUUCGAUACUGGGAAACUUGAGUCCGGGAGAGGUGAGUGGAACUGCGAGUGUAGAGGUGAAAUUCGUAGAUAUUCGCAAGAACACCAGUGGCGAAGGCGGCUCACUGGCCCGGUACUGACGCUGAGGUGCGAAAGCGUGGGGAGCGAACAGG
rnacentral:rRNA from 1 species